UUCCACCCUUUUUCUAUUUUUUCCCAUUGGGGAGUUCUGCCUCGCGAAAGGGGUGUUCAUCCUUUUCCUCUUCUCUGUUAGACAGGAACCCUUCUUCCCUAUUUGGAUCUGUGUUGCGCAAGGGGGUGAGAUUCUUUUCUCCUCUUCAUCUUGCUUCUUUUCUCACGGAGAGACCCAACUUUGGGGCAGCACCAAGGGUCUCGCGCAAGCCAAAGAGGGUUUUCUCUUUCGCGUCGCCGAGAGGGAGGCUUCCUUCCUCUUCUCUAUUCCGAUUUGUCUAGGAUUCUUCGUGCAUCCAACCCAGCCUAGGGUUCUUCGUCUCGCGUGGACAACCAACCUGAAGGGAUCAUCAAUGGCGUGACGGAAACGCGGCGGGGGUGCAAGGGUGCGACAAUCAAAUAGGCUGUUUAAGGAAUUUGAAGAAUAUGAUUUUGCAAGAACAGGAAGCCUUGCCACGGAAAAGGUUGAUCUCAAAGAGGGACCCUUUGGUAUGUGUAUAACUAGAACUAGUUAAUCAAGCUGUAGUCCUUGGUAACACUUUUUUUUCUUCUGCGUGCAGUAUUUCUUAAACGCUCAAUUUUAUUAUGAUAAGAAUCAAUUUACUGACUUGAUGGUCAUUUCUAGAAUUUCAGGGACUAUGUCACAGGUAUUUUUUACAUGGUUAUAUUUUAAUUAUCAAUUGAUAGCCUCUUCUUCUUUCAUAAAUCUUCAAUUUCUAUGUUUAUAUAUUAAGAAUCUAAGUAUUAAACAUUGAUUGUAAUAGCUUCUUGUUAUGCCGAUUUUGGCUCCUAUUCUGGACGAGGCAAGGCUACUUUCAAUAAGGUUAUUCUUUCAUUGUGUACACGUAAGUAUUUUUUUAAUACAACAUUAAAAUAUUUUCUCUUUUUCCAAAGUUCUAAACUUUUAAAAUGGGAUGCAGAUGUUUCUUUACAGCAUAGCAUGGUUCUCUUUGGUAUGUCUUUUUUCAAUAUUUUCUAAUUACAAGUUUGUUCCUGUCAACUACUUUUCCAUAUAUAAUAUCAUUAUAAGGUGAAACUAGAGAUAUAGUGGUUGAUUAUUCACACUUGUAUAUGCCAUAAUGCCUUUAUUAUCAUUUUGUUUUCCAUGUUUCCUUUUAUUUUAUAUAAUUUAUACUGUGAGUGUUGACAGGUUCCUUAUGCUAAUAAUAUGCCAUAAUGCCUCUAUUAUAUUGUGUCUAAACAAGUUGGUCCCAUAAGCAGGUACAUAGUUAAUAAUACUGAUUAACGUUGAACAAGCUGGUUAGGAUUUACUAUCUUAUAAAUAAAUAACUAGGAUUUCCAAGUCAAUUUAACAAGUACUAUGCAUUUUUAAGUGUUGGUAACUGAGACUAUAAUGAUGAUGUACCAUUAUUAGUGCUUUGUGAUUACGAAACUCACAUACUGACGUAACGAUUGUUUUUAAUUGCAGCGUUUAAUGGGAAUCAAGAUGGCUACAUUUCAUCUUCACCUAAUUUGCAAGUGGAGUCAUGAUGAGUUUGAGCUAUACAUCAAUGGACCGGAUGAAUCAGAUGUUGAAUGCUCAUAGUACCUCUCUUUUAAAUUUAGAAGAUUCAUGGAGCAAUCCCUCUAAAAAAAGUUUGAACAUUACGAGAUAUGAUGCAAAUGUGAUUUGCAACUCAGUGUUAUAGUGAUCAUUGGAUAAUAUAUUUUAAGAUGAGUUGAUUUUUGGGAUAAUUCUGUGAUAGGUUGUGUGGUUAGUGGGGAAGUGGCAUUAGGCCGUUAUUUGUAACUUUAUGAAGAAAAAGAAAAAAUUUAUGUGAUUCAUUUUUUAUAA